UCCGGUUUGACACCGGCAGUCUCCUUAGAGUCCCCAACUUAAUGCUGGUAACUAAGGACAAGGGUUGCGCUCGUUAUCGGACUUAACCGGACAUCUUACGACACGAGCUGACGACAGCCAUGCAGCACCUAUCACCAGGUCCCCGAAGGGAACACUAAAUCUCUCUAGCUGUCCUGGGAUGUUAAGGGUAGGUAAGGUUCUGCGCGUUGCUUCGAAUUAAACCACAUACUCCACCGCUUGUGCGGGCCCCCGUCAAUUCCUUUGAGUUUUAGCCUUGCGACCGUACUCCCCAGGCGGGAUACUUAACGCGUUUGCUUUGGUACUCAGGAGGUUAAUUUCCCAAACACCUAGUAUCCAUCGUUUACGGCGUGGACUAC
rnacentral:misc_RNA from 1 species